CGUUGAAACACCGGUUCCCGUACAAUCUGUGAAGUUAAGCAACGUCGAGCCUGGUUAGUACCUAGAUGGGUGAUCGCUUGGGAAUACCAGGUGCAGU